rnacentral:rRNA from 1 species
GAUGAACGCUGGCGGCGUGCCUAAUACAUGCAAGUCGAGCGAAUGGAUUAAGAGCUUGCUCUUAUGAAGUUAGCGGCGGACGGGUGAGUAACACGUGGGUAACCUGCCCAUAAGUCUGGGAUAACUCCGGGAAACCGGUGCUAAUACCGGAUAACAUUUUGAACCUGAUGGUUCGAAAUUGAAAGGCGACUUCGGCUGUCACUUGUGGCUGGACCGGCGUCGCAUUAGCUAGUUGGUGAGGUAACGGCUCACCAAGGCAACGAUGCGUAGCCGACCUGAGAGGGUGAUCGGCCACACUGGGAAUGAGACACGGCCCAGACUCCUACGGGAGGCAGCAGUAGGGAAUCUUCCGCAAUGGACGAAAGUCUGACGGAGCAACGCCGCGUGAGUGAUGAAGGCUUUCGGGUCGUGAAACUCUGUUGUUAGGGAAGAACAAGUGCUAGUUGAAUAAGCUGGCACCUUGACGGUACCUAACCAGAAAGCCACGGCUAACUACGUGCCAGCCGCCGCUGUAA